rnacentral:rRNA from 1 species
GACGAACGCUGGCGGCGUGCUUAACACAUGCCAGUCGAACGGAAAGGCCCUGCUUUUGUGGGGUGCUCGAGUGGCGAACGGGUGAGUAACACGUGAGUAACCUGCCCUUGACUUUGGGAUAACUUCAGGAAACUGGGGCUAAUACCGGAUAGGAGCUCCUGCUGCACGGUGGGGGUUGGAAAGUUUCGGCGGUUGGGGAUGGACUCGCGGCUUAUCAGCUUGUUGGUGGGGUAGUGGCUUACCAAGGCUUUGACGGGUAGCCGGCCUGAGAGGGUGACCGGCCACAUUGGGACUGAGAUACGGCCCAGACUCCUACGGGAGGCAGCAGUGGGGAAUAUUGCACAAUGGGCGGAAGCCUGAUGCAGCAACGCCGCGUGCGGGAUGACGGCCUUCGGGUUGUAAACCGCUUUCGCCUGUGACGAAGCGUGAGUGACGGUAAUGGGUAAAGAAGCACCGGCUAACUACGUG